rnacentral:rRNA from 1 species
GACGAACCGUGCGACCGUUAUUCGGAAUCACUGGGCUUAAAGCGCGUGUAGGCGGAUGGGGACGUCGGUCGCUGAAAUCCCCCGGCUCAACCGGGGAACUGGCCCCGAAACGCCCCGUCUGGAGGAACGUAGGGGGAUCUGGAACUUCCGGUGGAGCGGUGAAAUGCGUUGAGAUUGGGUGGAACACCAGGGGCGAAGGCGGCAUCCUGGCACGGACCUGACGCUGAGGCGCGAGAGCGUGGGGAGCAAACGGG